UGCCAGCAGCCGCGGUAAUACGGAGGGUGCAAGCGUUAAUCGGAAUUACUGGGCGUAAAGAGUACGUAGGCGGCUUUUCAAGUCGGGUGUGAAAUCCCUGAGCUUAACUCAGGAACUGCAUUCGAUACUGGAUCGCUAGAGUAUAUUAGAGGAUAGUGGAAUUUCAAGUGUAGCGGUGAAAUGCGUAGAUAUUUGAAGGAACACCAAUGGCGAAGGCGGCUAUCUGGAAUAAUACUGACGCUGAGGUACGAAAGCGUGGGGAGCAAACAGGAUUAGAUA
rnacentral:rRNA from 1 species